rnacentral:tRNA from 1 species
UGUCACGUGGCCGAGUGGCGAGGCAAAGGCCGGCAAAGCCUUAUACGGAGGUUCGAUCCCUCCCGUGGCGU